AUUGAACGCUGGCGGCAGGCUUAACACAUGCAAGUCGAACGAUGAAACUCUAGCUUGCUAGAGAUGGUUAGUGGCGGACGGGUGAGUAACAUUUAGGAAUCUGUCUAGUAGUGGGGGAUAGCUCGGGGAAACUCGAAUUAAUACCGCAUACGACCUACGGGUGAAAGGGGGCGCAAGCUCUUGCUAUUAGAUGAGCCUAAAUCAGAUUAGCUAGUUGGUGGGGUAAAGGCCUACCAAGGCGACGAUCUGUAACUGGUCUGAGAGGAUGAUCAGUCACACCGGAACUGAGACACGGUCCGGACUCCUACGGGAGGCAGCAGUGGGGAAUAUUGGACAAUGGGGGCAGCCCUGAUCCAGCCAUGCCGCGUGUGUGAAGAAGGCCUUUUGGUUGUAAAGCACUUUAAGCAGGGAGGAGAGGCUAAUGGUUAAUACCCAUUAGAUUAGACGUUACCUGCAGAAUAAGCACCGGCUAACUCUGUGCCAGCAGCCGCGGUAAUACAGAGGGUGCGAGCGUUAAUCGGAAUUACUGGGCGUAAAGCGAGUGUAGGUGGCUCAUUAAGUCACAUGUGAAAUCCCCGGGCUUAACCUGGGAACUGCAUGUGAUACUGGUGGUGCUAGAAUAUGUGAGAGGGAAGUAGAAUUCCAGGUGUAGCGGUGAAAUGCGUAGAGAUCUGGAGGAAUACCGAUGGCGAAGGCAGCUUCCUGGCAUAAUAUUGACACUGAGAUUCGAAAGCGUGGGUAGCAAACAGGAUUAGAUACCCUGGUAGUCCACGCCGUAAACGAUGUCUACUAGCCGUUGGGGUCCUUGAGACUUUAGUGGCGCAGUUAACGCGAUAAGUAGACCGCCUGGGGAGUACGGCCGCAAGGUUAAAACUCAAAUGAAUUGACGGGGGCCCGCACAAGCGGUGGAGCAUGUGGUUUAAUUCGAUGCAACGCGAAGAACCUUACCUGGUCUUGACAUAGUGAGAAUCCUGCAGAGAUGCGGGAGUGCCUUCGGGAAUUCACAUACAGGUGCUGCAUGGCUGUCGUCAGCUCGUGUCGUGAGAUGUUGGGUUAAGUCCCGCAACGAGCGCAACCCUUUUCCUUAUUUGCCAGCGGGUUAAGCCGGGAACUUUAAGGAUACUGCCAGUGACAAACUGGAGGAAGGCGGGGACGACGUCAAGUCAUCAUGGCCCUUACGACCAGGGCUACACACGUGCUACAAUGGUAGGUACAGAGGGUUGCUACACAGCGAUGUGAUGCUAAUCUCAAAAAGCCUAUCGUAGUCCGGAUUGGAGUCUGCAACUCGACUCCAUGAAGUCGGAAUCGCUAGUAAUCGCAGAUCGGAAUGCUGCGGUGAAUACGUUCCCGGGCCU
rnacentral:rRNA from 1 species